rnacentral:misc_RNA from 1 species
AUGUGGAUAUAGUUGUGUCCCAUCUACCCCUCCAGAAGACUCGAUAUCAAAGUAUGUGUGAUCUCCUUUUACAAAGACAGAGUAUAUAAAGACCAGAGUCAUGUUGUCUGGAUAUGGAGUCUCUUUNNNNNGGUCUUCUGGUACAUAAAUCCUGUCAAGCUUUUUCCCAAUCUUAGACUCCCAGAUCUCAACCAGCUCAUUUAAUGAAUAGACAUUUCCUGAAGGCCUCAAAUAC